rnacentral:misc_RNA from 1 species
GAUGAAGAACGUAGCGAAAUGCGAUAAGUAAUGCGAAUUGCAGAAUUUCCGUGAGUCAUCGAAUCUUUGAACGCACAUUGCGCCCCUUGGUAUUCCGAGGGGCAUGCCUAUUCGAGCGUCAUUAUCACCCCUCAAGCCUAGCUUGGUGUUGAGACCUGCUGUCAAGGCAGUCUCUAAAAUCAGUGGCAGUGCUGUCAGGCUCUAAGCGUAGUAAAUCUAAUCGCUAUAGACACCUGGUGGACACUCGCCAGAACCCCCCCAUUUUUUAAUGAUUGACCUCGGAUUAGGUAGGGAUACCCGCUGAACUUAAGCAUAUCAAUAAGCGGAGGA